rnacentral:rRNA from 1 species
GAUGAACGCUAGCUACAGGCUUAACACAUGCAAGUCGAGGGGCAGCGGGAUUGAAGCUUGCUUCAAUUGCCGGCGACCGGCGCACGGGUGAGUAGCGCGUAUCCAACCUUCCGUACACUCAGGGAUAGCCUUUCGAAAGAAAGAUUAAUACCUGAUGGUAUCUUAAGCACACAUGUAAUUAAGAUUAAAGAUUUAUCGGUGUACGAUGGGGAUGCGUUCCAUUAGGUAGUUAGGCGGGGUAACGGCCCACCUAGCCAACGAUGGAUAGGGGUUCUGAGAGGAAGGUCCCCCACAUUGGAACUGAGACACGGUCCAAACUCCUACGGGAGGCAGCAGUGAGGAAUAUUGGGUCAAUGGACGAGAGUCUGAACCAGGCCAAGUAGCGUGAAGGAUGAAGGUCCUACGGAUUGUAAAC